AUAAAAAUAAUAAAUUUUUAUGGCCUAAAUCAUUUACUUCCUUCGAAGAAAAAAAAAACAUAUUGAUUCUUUUUUCUUCUUCUUGGUUGUUUGGUUCAAUCUAAUCUCUUCAUCCUCCAUCUUCUUCAGUUUGGGUUUUUUUUUUGUUCUUAUUCAUCCCAAUCCAGUAAACGAUGAUGGCAAGGGAACCCUGAUCUCGUCUUUCCCAAUCUCCUCCACUUUGCACUCUGUAAAUCAAUUAUCGUCGCUCCACCAAACCCUGAACCUUGAUCUAUCCUUGAACGACGAUUACGUCUCAUAAUCAUCUCUGUAAGACCUUGAAACCCCCUCAAUUUCACUCCUUCAUGCUUCUCCUCAGAUCCCAACUCCUCUGAUUCGAUAAAGGAGAGACAGAUGGAGCAGAGACAGCAAGUAGCCAAGGUUGAACAGACAGAGAAAGCUUUUCUUAAGCAACCCAAGGUCUUCCUAAGCUAGAAGAAAUCUGGGAAGGAAAAAGACUAAGUCUGAGACUUGUGAUUUAAGGAACUUUUGUUCAGACUAACGAAGAGGUCGCAAUUAAGCUUGAAAGUGUGAAGAGCGCAUCCCCAACUGUUAUAUGAGUCUGGAUAUAUAGUGUUGUUCAGAAAGAGUUUGGUUACUGCUGAUCGAGAAGCACUGAUAGAUGAAGUCACGGAGAAUCAGAGUGUUGGACAAGAAUAGAUGCUGUGUGAAGUGUCCACUCUGUGAGAGGUUUGUGUGUGUUGACUGUGAUGUUCCUUGGCAUGAUUCUGUGAGCUUUGAAGAGUUUCAGAUUCUUCCGGUUGAUGAAAGAUAUCCAGAUCAUUGCAUCGCUUGGUUAGGUGUGGGCAUGAGCUUUUCUACUGUUGUGGAGCAGUGUCAGAGAAGGACAACAUAGUUGCACUUGUGACACAUUUAACUCGAUGCCAAUGGUAAUAGACGCUUACUCAGAGCAAGAAAGAUCUCAGCUAGUUCUGAUCCAACGGUUCUUAGUGGGUGAUUAGAUUUUGAAAGAUGGAACCUUUUUUGUUUCAGGAAGAGUUGUUGAUGGCAGAGAGAUGACUGUUCAGUUUUGCGAAACCUUUCUAUGUAUUUUUCUGUCUUAGAUUUACAGACACCAUACCGUUGACCAGAAAAAAAAAGAUUUACAGACGCCAUAAGUAUGUUCCAAGCCUUUGGUUUUUUCAGUUUCAUCUGAGAUGACUCUUGAGAAUGAAGUUGUUUGAAUUGUGUAUAGGCCGGAGCAAGAGAUGUAUAUUUUUUUCAGUUUCAUCUGAGAUGAUAA